rnacentral:lncRNA from 1 species
AGCCUGGAGGAGCGGGGGGGCAGGCGGGCCCCGGAGCGGGAUUGGGGCACGGCGUCGGCGGGGGGACGACUCCUGUUGCGGCAGGCGUGCCCGGGAGUGCUGGUAAGUCACGAGGAAGUUUAAAACCUGUGGACCAAACAGGAUUAAGGUCAACUUGAGUCGGGUACGAUUAGUGCAGCCCCAAGUUAUUUACUUGAGAGUUGCGGCUAGGUGAGCAAGAAGAUGGAUAGAAGACAGACACUCCCAGGCAGUGUGAGGCCAGCUCCACCCCUGGGCACAGACUGCAGGCACCAGCCGACCCGGGUACCAACUGAUUGAACCCCCUGCUGAGCCCUGCUCUCUCCUGUACAGCUGCCCCAAAGCCAUGGGCUUCCCUGCUGCAGCAUGUGUCGAUGGGUCCUCUGUUGCCUCUGACGUCUCCCCAGGCACUCGUACGCUGCACAAGGGUCUGGAUGUCUCCAGCAGCGGCGCAGCAGCCGGACGCGUCCUCUCGUCUGGGACGCGGGGUCCUUCACCGCUCUUCUGGGAUACGGGGCCCUUGAUUAAUUGCCGUGGCAGAAGUUGAAGAGACCAAGAAAUGUAAGCACCGAAGGGGGACAUCUUGAAGACAGGUGGCUAGACCUAGUGAUCCAGUUGUUCGUUUUGGUCAUCGCCUGUGAGGCCAGCAUCCAAGCAUAAGAGGAAGCUAGGAGCUGUCUUGAAAAGAGAUGGGACCAAUGAUAGGAAAUGCUGACGAAGAGAAAAGCUGGACAAGCAGUUUUUUGAGAUUAAUACCUAAGGGACGGGAUGAAACAAGGAAGCCAAAAUGCAGCGGACCCUCGAUAUCACUGGAAACGGCUACGGCAGGAGGUGUUCUGGCACAGGCAUUCAGAACCUCGGGGAACGACUGUAUGCUGCCAUGAAGAACUACAGGCUACCACCGCCCUCGGACCUUCGUAAGUUAUCAUGUAUCAAGAGCGACCAGGAGAAUCCAAACGGCAGCGGAAAGGUUCUCUGCCUGGUCUUGACGAGGAGCCUUCGGCCAUAGGAAGGUUGGCCGCGUCCUUAUCAGACUUGUGAGUAAUAAGCCGCAAUUCAUGGAAUGGCAAAGGAGGGGUGGAAUAGCGACUGGUAGCCCAGUUGCUAUGGCGUUGCUGUUGCUGGCAGGGCCACAAGGUCUGUGCGAAGCCUGUCUACCUGGAAUAACCAGUGAGGCCUAAAAUAGGAAUUCUCGUGGCUAGAUGG